GCGCCCGUAGCUCAAUUGGAUAGAGUACCUGACUACGAAUCAGUAGGUUAGAGGUUCGAAUCCUCUCGGGCGCACCA
rnacentral:tRNA from 1 species